ACUCCUACGGGAGGCAGCAGUGGGGAAUAUUGCACAAUGGGGGAAACCCUGAUGCAGCCAUGCCGCGUGUGUGAAGAAGGCCUUCGGUUGUAAAGCACUUUCAGUAGGGAGGAAGGUAGUGUAGUUAACACCUGCAUUAUUUGACGUUACCUACAGAAGAAGCACCGGCUAACUCCGUGCCAGCAGCCGCGGUAAUACGGAGGGUGCGAGCGUUAAUCGGAAUUACUGGGCGUAAAGCGCAUGCAGGCGGCCUGUUAAGUCAGAUGUGAAAGCCCGGGGCUUAACCUCGGAAUUGCAUUGAAACUGGCAGGCUAGAGUCUUGUAGAGGGGGUAGAAGUUUCAGGUGUAGCGGUGAAAUGCGUAGAGA
rnacentral:rRNA from 1 species